GCCAAUUCCACAUCAACCUGAAAAUCAAGCCAUGAUUUUGCCAUGGCCCAGCAAGCAGACUCCCAAUCCAUACAUGUUGGAAGAAUACGUUUCAGAUUACUGCACUGGGCUGCAUAUACUGCUGCUUCAUACUUCCCACCAUCUUGAUCUGCAAUUCUCUCGGAAGCACAAUAGCAAGCCCAUUUCCAGAGACGCCAUUGAUGACCAAUUCCACUUUCCAGCUCAAUGGCCUGUAACGUUCUGUUCUUGCCAUUUCUCACUAGGGCUUCCAUGGAAGGAAACUGAUCAAACCUUCCGAAUGGAGAUAGUGUUGCAGCUCUCCAUGACUGUCCAGCUGACCGGCAGAGGCUACAUGCUUCUUCCAAUCUCCCUGCCCUUAACAGAGUCCAGACA
rnacentral:misc_RNA from 1 species